rnacentral:sRNA from 1 species
UUUACCAGAUAAGCUUUUUAAAAAAUUAUGUUCAACAAUUAUCUUUUUAUUGUAGUUAAGUUUUUCAAAUUCUUGCUGUUUUCAAUAUCUCCUGGUUUCAUCAUCCCUACUGAGAAAUUACGUAUACAAUCUUAUAAUUAAUUGUUUGCUUUGGUCUUCUUUUAUUUUCCUGCUUUAUGAUAAAAUUUUCAUUAGCCUAAAUGUGUUAUUAAUUUUUCUUGUUUCUUAAAUAUUUGUUCAAUAUUAUAUUCACAACUUUAAGUUCAAAGGAUCAGUUUUCUGAACAGAUCUUCAUACACUAUAAAUUCCUUGUUGUAUGACCAUCUCUAAUAAUUUUAUUUUUAAUUUUUAGGUAAUGCCUGAUUAUAAUUUAAAUAAGGACGUUGACAAAAAUUAAUGAACCAUUUGCACAAAAAAUAUUUGAAUCAACAUUUAUUCACUCCUGGAAGAUAUUAAAUAUUUCAACAGAAUAUUCCAAUGGAUGGAACUUUUUCCAGCAUCUGGAUUAUUUUCCAGGUUAGACACAUGUUUGUCCACAGACUUGUCUUCUCUGAAUGAAAUCCAAAAGUUGUUUUUACUCCUAGAACCCUCAAAGCCUCUCUGUUUUUUGUCUAUCUAUUUUGCUCACUGUUGUUGAAUCUAUAUUCUUCAAAUGUGCCUUUACCAAGUCUCCAAAAUCACUGUGAGUAUAUGAUUCUCUGGGUAUGAGGUUGUGUAGUCAUGUCAAAUUAAAAUUUAAUAUUCCACAUACAGUCUGCACAGACAAAUAUAAGAAAUUUUGUAAUAACAUUUGUCUUGGUUAGUGUUGAUAGCUGAAUGCGAUUUCUUAUUCUACUGUGGAUCAAUAGAUCAAGAUUCCUUCAGAGAGGAAAGGCAAGUACCCAAAGGUUUUCUUCUAAUGACUGAAACACGUGGUCAGAAGACACACUAUUAACACUCGUCCUAAUAAUUUUUCAGCUAAAGAGUUGGGAAUGUAAGGAAAGGAAAUGGCUAGACUAUUCAAGAUUCUACUGGCAGAUUAUUUGUGAUGGUUGGUCUCUUUUUGCCUCCUAGAACAUUCAAGAGUACUUCAAGAUGCAAAGGAAAGAAGAGUUAAGAAAAGAAGGCCUUUCAUAACAUAUUGUUCCACAGGGGCUCUGAGCCCCACCAGGACAAAGUUUUCACAGUUGCUAGAGUUAACAAGACACGAAACCUACUAGGAAAAGACCUGACUUCUAUUUGCCAUGAUGGAAAACUCCCCACAGUAAUUCUGGAAUGUUUUAUGUUACUAUCUGCCUUAUGGACAAGAUCCUGCUUCUUAAAUGAACCCUAAUCUCUUCAAUUCCAUCAGCAUGAAGAGAAACAAUUGUGCAUCAAAUCAUUGGCUAUACAAUAAGGAUAUGCUGUCUCUCAACAAAGAAAAUGGAACCAAAACUGAGGGUAUAUUGGCAAUAUCACUAAACAUAGCAUCAUGUCAAACAAUAAAGAAGUUGGAUUGUGAAAAAGAUGUAAACAUAAAAACAAUCCAUCUGUGCAUAUGGUAGCAUGUAUCUUAAAGGAAUUACUUCAAAUUAUCAAAGGAAAUUUGCUGACAUCUAGACUAUAUGAAGAAUGACUUGGGGUACAUGACCAGGUCAAUGAAGAAGAGAAAGUAGCCACUGUGCAGAGUCCUUAUUUCAAAUACCUCCCACCAGGACCAAAUGUGUAUGGUCUUGUCUAUUGAUAAGACAGAAAACCUACUUGAAAAAGAGCUGACAACAAUUUGUGAUGAUCGAAAUCUGCCCACAGAAAUUCUGGAUAUGCUGUUCUUCAUCCAAGAAAAGGGGCCCCAAAUUCAGGAUAUAUCCAUAAUUUCACACAACAUAGCAUCAUGAAGAAGUUGGAUUGUGAAGAAGAUGUAAACAUAAAAAAAUAAUCCAUCUGUGUAUAUGGUAGCAUGUAUCUUAAAGGUAAGGAAAGUCCUUGCAUCAUACACCCUCAGGAUUCUUCUCAAUCUAUUUGAGUAGUUUCCUUCAUUAUGCAUUCCCUUGAGUGGUAGUAGAUAACAUAUAAGAGAAAUCUGAUAAAAAAGCAAAAACAAAAACAAAAAGCUGUCAUAAUGAGCAGUAAUGUAACUAAGUAUCUUUCAUUUGAUUCUUCCACAAGUAUAUGGAGAGUCACUUCAUACAUGCAUAUGAGUUUCACCUGAUAUGCAUGCCUCCUCAGAUGCAUUUGUCUAAGAGUGUUCUUAAGGGUGUCACUCUCCUUUUUUUCUGAGAGGCAGGUUUCUCUUCCUAGGUAUAGAGCACGUGACUCCUUCAUGUAUAUCUUUGCUGUACAUACCCAGUAGAAUCUCUUGGUCUGCUUGUCCCUCUCACUCACAAAAUAUUGGUAUCCAAAUGAAGGUUCACAUGGCUAUGUAACACGUAUUCUUAAGUACUGGGCCAUUCCUUCAGCACCAUAAUUUUAUUGUUAUAUUUAAAAAUUAAAAUCAUUUCACUCCUCCCUAUUCCUUGCUCUAAUGUUGUUUCCCUUCAAUCUCCCACUUCUGAUAAAAUACAUUUUCUUUAACUGUUAUUUUGUAGAUACAAAUAAAUCCAUAAAUAUGUUCAAAUAACCUGAUGAGUCCAUUAUCCUUGUUAGUAUCUGUACUAUUUCCAAAGGAACCAACUGUGAUUGGCUUACAAAUUAGGGGGUUCAUUUUUGAGAAAGACCAAUUUCCUCACUCUUCAUAGUAUUUAUUUGCAUGUAGUUCCUUAUCUAAAAGUUUGACUUCAUGAGAUUUCCUCAUUUUGAUUUAGUGUUACUAACUUGGAUAAUGUUUUGUUUAGAACUUGCUUAAACAACCAGACUGUGGGACUAACAAAAGUGAAGCUUCUCCUGCAUUUCUCUGAGGCCCAAUCCCAAAGCAGAUAUCCUGAUCCUCUGGUAUACAAUCAUUCUGACUUUUUAAACAAAUUUUUGGAGCCCAAGGUUAAGGAGUUAGUAUGUAUAUGUAGGCAGUGGGGCAUGGAGCCACAGGAUAUUUUGUUCUUUGUACCUUGAAUACGUGCAGUUUUCAAUAGUCAUCAUCCAUUGCAAAAAGAAUCUCCUUCGAUGGAUGGGUAAGGACUACAUUAUCUGGGAAUAUCAUCUUAAACAAUUAGACUACAGUUAGGAACAUCAUGCUUGUUUAGUGAAAUGGUCACAGGAAUUUAAGAGCCACGACCUC